UAAUACGGAGGGUGCGAGCGUUGUCCGGAAUCACUGGGCGUAAAGGGCGCGUAGGUGGCCGAGCAAGGUCGCGGUGAAAGCCCGGGGCUCAACCCCGGGUCGGCCGUGGCAACUACUUGGCUGGAGCACUGUAGGGGCGGGUGGAAUUCCGGGUGUAGCGGUGGAAUGCGUAGAGAUCCGGAAGAACACCGGUGGCGAAGGCGGCCCGCUGGGCAGGAAGACCUCGUAAGAGGUCGGCUGACACUGAGGCGCGACAGCGUGGGGAGCAAACAGGAUUAGAUACCCUGGUAGUCCACGCCGUAAACGAUGGGCACUAGGUGCUUGGGGGAGCGACCCUCCGAGUGCCGGCGCUAACGCAUUAAGUGCCCCGCCUGGGGAGUACGGCCGCAAGGCUG
rnacentral:rRNA from 1 species